rnacentral:rRNA from 1 species
GAUGAACGCUGGCGGCGUGCCUAAUACAUGCAAGUCGAGCGAAUGGAUUAAGAGCUUGCUCUUAUGAAGUUAGCGGCGGACGGGUGAGUAACACGUGGGUAACCUGCCCAUAAGACUGGGAUAACUCCGGGAAACCGGGGCUAAUACCGGAUAACAUUUUGAACCGCAUGGUUCGAAAUUGAAAGGCGGCUUCGGCUGUCACUUAUGGAUGGACCCGCGUCGCAUUAGCUAGUGGGUGAGGUAACGGCUCACCAAGGCAACGAUGCGUAGCCGCCCUGAGAGUGUGGUCGGCCACACUGGGACUGAGAAACGGCCCAGACUCCGGCGGGAGGCAGCAGUAGGGAAUCUUCCGCAAUGGACGAAAGUCUGACGGAGCAACGCCGCGUGAGUGAUGAAGGCUUUCGGGUCGUAAAACUCUGUUGUUAGGGAAGAACAAGUGCUAGUUGAAUAAGCUGGCACCUUGACGGUACCUAACCAGAAAGCCACGGCUAACUACGUGCCAGCCGCCGCGGUAA